rnacentral:rRNA from 1 species
UGGGGAAUAUUGCACAAUGGGCGCAAGCCUGAUGCAGCCAUGCCGCGUGUAUGAAGAAGGCCUUCGGGUUGUAAAGUACUUUCAGCGGGGAGGAAGGCGAUAAGGUUAAUAACCUUGUCGAUUGACGUUAACCGCAGAAGAAGCACCGGCUAACUCCGUGCCAGCAGCCGCGGUAAUACGGAGGGUGCAAGCGUUAAUCGGAAUUACUGGGCGUAAAGCGCACGCAGGCGGUCUGUCAAGUCGGAUGUGAAAUCCCCGGGCUCAACCUGGGAACUGCAUUCUAAACUGGCAGGCUAGAGUCUUGUAGAGGGGGGUAGAAUUCCAGGUGUAGCGGUGAAAUGCGUAGAGAUCUGGAGGAAUACCGGUGGCGAAGGCGGCCCCCUGGACAAAGACUGACGCUCAGGUGCGAAAGCGUGGGGAGCAAACA